rnacentral:rRNA from 1 species
UACGGGGGGAGCGAACGUUGUUCGGAAUCACUGGGCGUAAAGGGCGUGUAGGCGGCUGAAUAAGUGGGAUGUUAAAUCCCCCGGCUCAACCGGGGACCUGCAUCUCAUACUGUUCAGCUCGAGCACAUCAGAGGAGAAUGGAAUUCACGGUGUAGCAGUGAAAUGCGUAGAUAUCGUGAGGAAGACCAGUGGCGAAGGCGAUUCUCUGGGCAAUUCCUGACACUGAGGCACGAAGGCCAGGGGAGCAAACGGG